rnacentral:rRNA from 1 species
AUUGAACGCUGGCGGCAUGCCUUACACAUGCAAGUCGAACGGUAACGGGCCUUCGGGUGCCGACGAGUGGCGAACGGGUGAGUAAUGUAUCGGAACGUACCUUUCAGUGGGGGAUAACGUAGCGAAAGUUACGCUAAUACCGCAUAUUCUGUGAGCAGGAAAGCAGGGGAUCGCAAGACCUUGCGCUGAUUGAGCGGCCGAUAUCAGAUUAGCUAGUUGGUGAGGUAAAGGCUCACCAAGCGACGAUCUGUAGCGGGUCUGAGAGGAUGAUCCGCACACUGGAACUGAGACACGGUCCAGACUCCUACGGGAGGCAGCAGUGGGGAAUUUGGACAAUGGGGCAACCCUGAUCCAGCCAUGCCGCGUGAGUGAAGAAGGCCUCGGUUGUAAGG